GGAAGCACAGGUAGAAAUCCGACAGCUAUUAUCAGUGCGUUUGUGGAGCAACAGAGCUGUGAGUACACAAGUGAGGAUUCAAAAGUGAAGCACUGGUUUGAGAUCAGUCUCAGAAAAACACGAGCGCAGCAGUUCUAAAACUCAAAAUACUAAAAACGCUUAAAGUCUUUAAGUCUCUUUCUUCACCAAAAAUAAACAACUCAAGUUUAAACUAAAUCUUCAAAAUCAUGAGUAUGACCAGAUUUAUCAAACUAAAAGAUGAUUUUUACCUUCCUCUGUUUCAUUUUUAACCCUUUGGGUGCUGCCCAAAGACAGGAAGACAGUGCAGGAACAUGUCCUGUCAUGUCAGAGCUGUGCUUUAUAACCAGACUGCUCCUCUCCCACAGUCCGGAGCACAAGUCGCAGCGGGCGGGAGUUUGAGUGCAGACCACCCUAACAUCGACUAAACUGGCCAACUGCAGAGCGCUGCUGGCAAAUCGCCACAAAAGAAUAAGAUUCCACUUGAACGCCACCAUGAGAACUACGAAAGAACAGAUUUCUAACGCACACCAAGGCUGGAUGACGUUGCUUCUCAUCACCCUUCAAAUGCCCCUUUGCUGAUAAGAUAAACCUCUGCACCGGCGGGGCCUGGAGCUGUGGAGAAACUCCGGGAAGGACCUAGGUGCUGCAGCCAAGUGGGGCCACUUUGUGCUCGGCCGCUGGUGACUUGUC